rnacentral:rRNA from 1 species
UACGGAGGGUGCAAGCGUUGUUCGGAAUCACUGGGCGUAAAGCGCGUGUAGGCGGCCCACUAAGUCUGAUGUGAAAGCCCGGGGCUCACCCCCCGGAAGUGCAUUGGAAACUGGUGGACUCGAGUCCCGGAGAGGAGAGUGGAAUUCCGUGGUGUAGCGGUGAAAUGCGUAGAUAUCAGGAGGAACACCGGUGGCGAAGGCGGCUCUCUGGACGGUGACUGACGGCUGAGACGCGAAAGCGUGGGGAGCAAACAGG